rnacentral:rRNA from 1 species
UACGUAGGGGGCGAGCGUUAUCCGGAUUUAUUGGGCGUAAAGCGCGCGCAGGCGGUCUUUUAAGUCAGGUGUGAAAGGCUGCGGCUCAACCGCAGAGCGGCACCUGAAACUGGAAGGCUUGAGUGCAGGAGAGGAGAGCGGAAUUCCCGGUGUAGCGGUGGAAUGCGUAGAGAUCGGGAGGAACACCAGUGGCGAAGGCGGCUCUCUGGCCUGUUACUGACGCUGAGGCGCGAAAGCGUGGGGAGCAAACAGG